rnacentral:sRNA from 1 species
UGAUGUCAGCUACCCUGGAUAUUCCG